rnacentral:rRNA from 1 species
GAUGAACGCUGGCGGCGUGCCUAAUACAUGCAAGUCGAGCGAACGGACGAGAAGCUUGCUUCUCUGAUGUUAGCGGCGGACGGGUGAGUAACACGUGGAUAACCUACCUAUAAGACUGGGAUAACUUCGGGAAACCGGAGCUAAUACCGGAUAAUAUCUUUAACCGCAUGGUUCAAAAGUGAAAGACGGUCUUGCUUCCACUUAUAGAUAUAUCCGCGUUGCAUUAGCUAGUUGGUAAGGUAACGGCUUACCAAGGCAACGAUGCAUAGCCGACCUGAGAGGGUGAUCGGCCACACUGGAACUGAGACACGGUCCAGACUCCUACGGGAGGCAGCAGUAGGGAAUCUUGCGCAAGGGCGGAAGGCCGGACGGAGCAACGCCGCGUGGUUGAGGAAGGUCUUCGGAUCGUAAAACUUUGUUAUUAGGGAAGAAGAUAGGGGUAAGUAACUGUGCACAACGUGACGGUACCUAAUCAGAAAGCCACGGCUAACUACGUG